CUUCAUGGAGGUUGAACACUGUUAGUGUAAGAAAUUAUAUCUGCCAUCAACCAUCACACUGGCAACCACCACGUAACAGGGCUGACCUGAGCACCUAACCACAAGAGUAUAUCCCUAGCUCGAGGAUAUUCACAUCAAGCGUUGUUUGGAAUAAGGGAAGGUUGAGAAGGAUUGGAGUAAGCAGGUUGAAAUGAAGGUUUAAGUGGUAGGUAAAAAUAGAGAGCUUGAGAAACUACAAACUG